ACAGCAAUUGACGUUACCCGCAGAAGAAGCACCGGCUAACUCCGUGCCAGCAGCCGCGGUAAUACGGAGGGUGCAAGCGUUAAUCGGAAUUACUGGGCGUAAAGCGCACGCAGGCGGUCUGUCAAGUCGGAUGUGAAAUCCCCGGGCUCAACCUGGGAACUGCAUUCGAAACUGGCA
rnacentral:rRNA from 1 species